UACUCGGAAACCCGGUGAAACGAAUUCGGACUGACAGCGCGGGGCUCAAAGGCCUUUGCUUGACGGACUUGCGAGUCUGUCGUGCAACUUUUGUGUCCCGAGUGAAUAAUGAAUCUAAAUGACUCUCAGCAACGGAUAUCUUGGCUCUUGCAACGAUGAAGAACGCAGCGAAAUGCGAUACCUAGUGUGAAUUGCAGAAUUCCGCGAAUCAUUGAGUUUUUGAACGCAAGUUGCGCCCGAGGCUCAUCCCGAGGGCAUGCCUGCCUGAGCGUCCGCUCUGACCCACCCACAAAUCUUCUUUCCCCCCAUCCGUGGGGGGAGUAGAGAUUGGCAAGUGCGAGUGGAAUUGGUCGUCCGGGAAACCUGGCCGUCUCUCCGGAGACGGUUGAAGGACUUCGCGGUUGGCUGAAAACUAAGUACCGUCUGUUGAGAAGCGCACAUGGGGGCAAGUGCGCAUCGCGAAUUGGUGCCGCCCUCCCUCCCUUGGGUACAAGGGCUAGGGGAUGGGCGUUUGGUAACGAAAGCGUUGCGUCUCCCCCGUGGAGUCGAGUCUCUCGGAUCGGGAUUUGUUUUUUCAAAACAAUAUGGGAGUGUUUGGGUCUUUUGAAACUUGUUCCUGGCUUUCCGUUCGGUCCCCGGAGACGGGAGUCGAAACCUGAAGCMAGGGAGUGCAAAAGGCCUGUACGAUGUUUGUUCGGACCUCAGAUCAGACAAGACCACCCGCUGAGUUUAAGCAUAUCACUAAGCGGAGGAAAAGAAACUAACGA
rnacentral:rRNA from 1 species